GAUGAACGCUGGCGGCGUGCCUAAUACAUGCAAGUCGAGCGAACAGACGAGGAGCUUGCUCCUCUGACGUUAGCGGCGGACGGGUGAGUAACACGUGGAUAACCUACCUAUAAGACUGGGAUAACUUCGGGAAACCGGAGCUAAUACCGGAUAAUAUAUUGAACCGCAUGGUUCAAUAGUGAAAGACGGUUUUGCUGUCACUUAUAGAUGGAUCUGGGCCGCAUUAGCUAGUUGGUAAGGUAACGGCUUACCAAGGCAACGAUGCGUAGCCGAACUGAGAGAGUGAUCGGCCGCCCUGGAACUGAGACACGGACCAGACUCCUACGGGAGGCAGCAGUAGCGAAUCUUCCGCAAUAGGCGAAAACUUGGCGGAGCGACGCCGCGUGAGUGGUGAAGGUCUUCGGAUCGUAAAGCUCUGUUAUUAGGGGAGAACAAAUGUGUAAGUAACUAUGCACGUCUUGACGGUACCUAAUCAGAAAGCCACGGCUAACUACGUG
rnacentral:rRNA from 1 species